rnacentral:rRNA from 1 species
UACGGAGGGGGCUAGCGUUGUUCGGAAUUACUGGGCGUAAAGCGCACGUAGGCGGACUGUUAAGUCGGGGGUGAAAUCCUGGGGCUCAACCUCAGAAUUGCCUCCGAUACUGGCAGUCUCGAGUGCGGGAGAGGUGAGUGGAAUUCCCAGUGUAGAGGUGAAAUUCGUAGAUAUUCGGAAGAACACCAGUGGCGAAGGCGGCUCACUGGCCCGGUUCUGACGCUGAGGUGCGAAAGCGUGGGGAGCAAACAGG